CCCCCUGCCAUGGCGGCUGUCACGGCAGCUGCCACAAUAGUUUACCAUUAUGUGUGGUUAAGAACGUCCACCAUAUGUGUAGGUCUGCCGUGGCUUGGUUGUCUAGGGACAGCCCCUGAUCAUCAUGCGGGAGUGUGCAAAAAGCAAAGUGGUCUUAGAUGAAAGCGCGGCCUGUGGUAUGAUGCGCAUAGCAAAAUUUAAGGAACCUGGUAGGGAUUGUAGUUCCAUGCGGUUGCAAGUACCAAGCAGGAGGUGGUAAUUGGUGUUGUUGCGACUGUUCCAAUUCUCACGUGGUAACUUGUUG